GUCCACGCCUUAAACGAUGGGUACUCGGUGCUGGAUCGCAAGGUUCAGUGCCAAAGCUAACGCAUUAAGUACCCCACCUGGGGAGUACGAUCGCAAGGUUGAAACUCAAAGGAAUUGACGGGGGCCCGCACAAGCAGUGGAGCAUGUGGUUCAAUUCGAUGCAACGCGAAGAACCUUACCCGGGUUUGAAAGGCCAGUGACAGCCGAUGAAAGUCGGUCUCGUAGCAAUACGCACUGGUACAGGUGCUGCAUGGCUGUCGU
rnacentral:rRNA from 1 species